rnacentral:rRNA from 1 species
UUUGAUGGCGACCGGCGCACGGGUGAGUAACACGUAUCCAACCUGCCGAUGACUCGGGGAUAGCCUUUCGAAAGAAAGAUUAAUACCCGAUGGCAUAGUUCUUCCGCAUGGUAGAACUAUUAAAGAAUUUCGGUCAUCGAUGGGGAUGCGUUCCAUUAGGUUGUUGGCGGGGUAACGGCCCACCAAGCCUUCGAUGGAUAGGGGUUCUGAGAGGAAGGUCCCCCACAUUGGAACUGAGACGCGGUCCAA